AGUUUCUGGCUGCUGGUCAGAGCGGAGGAGCCGAAGUAACCUAGGAUGGCCGCUCCCGUUGUGUGUCUGGGCCUUGGCGGAAGUGGAGGUUCUGGGAGCAGCCCAGGAAGCUGCUGUCUGGAUUCUGUCGACCAGAGUAGCUUCCCCAAGCCCCACUGGUCGGGUUGGAAGACAAGCCCUAAUGACGUUACAGAAUGAAAUCUCCGCCGUGACAGGACUUUGGUUCUCUGCUGUUUCCCCAGUGCCAAGAGCAACGCCGGGAACGUGAACUUGAGCGCUCCAUCGCAUGUGUUAAGUGAACGAGCAGUCAUACAAGGAUGCACAGACAAAGUUUGAGCUCCUGACACUCCGUGUAAGAUGUGUGGUAGCCUCAUAAUUUCGCACAUCA